rnacentral:lncRNA from 1 species
ACAACCUGGAUUUUAAGGCCAGUUUUUAAGCAGCAUAUGAAAUGUUCUGAAGGUCAUACAGUCUGUAUGUACUGUGUUUCCUCUACUGCAAAGGGCCAGGCUGGCAUUCCUGGUACCGCUGGCAUCCCUGGCAAGAGGGGCUAUAGGGGCGAGAAAGGCGAGCCAAGCAUUGAGUCAAAAGGCAUGAAAGGAGAGCCAGGAUCAGCAGGAGAGCCAGGUCCUAAGGGGGACAAAGGUUACCAUGGAGAAAAGGGGGAAGUUGGCCCUGAAGGACCUGCAGGACCAAGAGGUCCUCCAGGCCCAACCGGAGAGCCCGGAAAAGCUGAACUUCAAAGCACAGAAAAUGUAAGACUUUUAUUCAUUGUAUCAUCUUUUUUUAGAAACAAUGUUUUCCAGUAAAGCAAAUGUAAAGUUAUUGUUUUAUUUCUUCUUCUGUUACAGGAU